rnacentral:rRNA from 1 species
UAUCUCUGUAGAGUCUGCAUAUCAAUAAGCGGAGGAAAAGAAACUAACAAGGAUUCCCCUAGUAACGGCGAGUGAAGCGGGAAGAGCUCAAAUUUGAAAUCUUCAAGGUUUGACCUUGACGAAUUGUAGUUUAAAGAAGUGUUUUCGGUUAGAGGAGUAGUAAAAGUUCUCUGGAAUAGGACAUCAUAGAGGGUGUGAAUCCCGUAUUUGGUCAUUCCUUCUAGCUUUGUGAUACACUUUCAAAGAGUCGGAUUGUUUGGGAAUGCAGUCCAAAAUGGGUGGUAAAUUUCAUCUAAAGCUAAAUAUUGGCGAGAGACCGAUAGCGAACAAGUACCGUGAGGGAAAGAUGAAAAGAACUUUGAAAAGAGAGUUAAACAGUACGUGAAAUUGUCAAAAGGGAAGCGUUUGACACCAGUGUUGUUUUUCCGAAAAUCAAUUAUAAAUGUUUUGUUUCUGAGGAGUGAUGACUUCAUCGGCUUCCUUCUCUCUUCACGAAACUUUUGUAAUGCACUUUUCGGUUAACAAGUCAACAUCAAUUUCUUUUGUUGUAAAAGAGUAUUCGGAAGGUGGCUUUCUUUUCGGAGAAAGUGUUUAUAGCCCUAUACUUCUACAAUCGGAGAGAUUGAGGUCUGCAGCGUAGAUCCUUCGGGGUUAGAUACAUUUGUGCUAAGUUAUAGCUUUUCAUAGACAACUUGUUGACUAUGUUUAGUCUUGUAGCUUACUCGCUUAUGCUAUUUUACCUACGCUUAGGAUGUUGAGCGCAUGUCUCUCUCU